CACGUAGUUAGCCGGGGCUUCUUAGUCAGGUACUGUCACUUUCUUCCCUGCUGAUAGAGCUUUACAUACCGAGAUACUUCAUCGCUCACGCGGCGUCGCUGCAUCAGGGUUUCCCCCAUUGUGCAAUAUUCCCCACUGCUGCCUCCCGCAGGAGUCUGGGCCGUGUCUCAGUCCCAAUGUGGCCGGCCGCCCUCUCAGGCCGGCUACUGAUCGUCGCCUUGGUGGGCCGUUACCCCGCCAACGAGCUAAUCAGACGCGGGCCCAUCCCAUACCACCGGAGUUUUCCCCAGGAAGCUAUGCAGCCUCCUGGGCGUAUGCGGUAUUAGCAGCCGUUUCCGGCUGUUAUCCCCCGGUAUGGGGCAGGUUGCCCACGCGUUACUCACCCGUCCGCCACUCAGACAGCUACUGUUCCUCCCCGAAGGGAAUCCCUGCAGCCGCUUCGUUCGACUUGCAUGUGUUAAGCACGCCGCCAGCGUUCAUCCUGAGCCAGGAUCAAACU
rnacentral:rRNA from 1 species